UCCCUAAACCUUAUUUCUAAGGGUCAUUGACAAGUAUAGCCACAGUUCUUUUAUUCUCAUUGUUCAAAUGUUUUUAAUAGCAAGAAUGCAUGACAUUCCGUUGGAUAAAUGUCAGUUACAUAAAGUUGGUUAACAGUAUUCAAAUCAUUAUAUCCUUAUUAUCUUACUAUCUUUCUAUCAGUAUUGAAAGUGGGAUUUUAUUCUCUGACUAUAAUUGAUGAAAUAAAUAGGUACAGAGAAUAAAGGCGAUGAUUCAACAUAAGGAAAAUAAGAAUUCCCAAUAAAUAAAUAUAAAAAUAUAGGGCAAAUGUCAUACAGAAAUGAAGAAAAGUUUUUUCAUAAGCUUGAAAAACUUAAGUUUCAAUUAAAAGUGUUCACUUUUUUAAAACCAAAUUGAAUAUAAAUACAAAUUCAUCUAGUUUUUUUUUUUUUUCGUGGUGAAAAUUUGAACUUACAUGAUAUUGAAAAUCUCUUGCAAGCUUCCUAGCAGGAAAAAACUGCUGCUGUAUUUCCAGGGACUCAAAUAAGGUACGCCUCAGAACUCCCUGAAGCACCAAGUGCUGGAAGAUAAUAGAGCAUCUAUCAAAGAGGUGGAAACUAAGAUAUCAAAAGAUGGAAAAUGAUCAGUGAAUUUUAUUAGUUUAUUCCCUAUUGACUGCAAAACUGAGUAUUUUCUGUCCUGCUUCCAGACUCUUCGUGAAGAUGAGGAAACUGAGGCUCAACAAAAGUGACUAACUGGCUGAAAAAUAGGAAGAUGAAAAGAAAAGAAAUAUGUUUUUCUGAAGCCAAAGCCCUUACUUAUUCUCAUCAUGCUUCCAGAAUGAUUUUGGGAAUCCAAGGGACGUGUGAGUCAUUGUCAAUGAAAAAUCACACUGAGAGUAUAUGAUGUUGCCCUGUCAGAUCCCAGAGUUGGGUGUUCCUGUAUAAGAUACACUGGACAACCUGAUGAACCUAUAAAGGUUUAAAGUGUGACUCAUUUUGUUACCAGAUCCUGGAAACAGAGAGGAAAGCCAAGGAGUUAAUAAUGUAGUAUAAGCCAUGAGUUUAUUCAUACACUGCCUGACUCAUCCUCCAAGAAUUCCUCUCAAGAGCGAUUUAUUGCUAUUACAGUCAGUGCUAAAGAUAAGUUGGGAUUUCAGAUGCUUUGGUAUCCACAUAAUUUGCUUCUAGCUUUCUCUAAUGUUACUUAGUUUUAUAGCCAAUGGUAUUUCUAUUUGAUUCCACAGUAAAUAUCAGUUUCACUAAAUCAUUAGGAUUGGGUCCUACAGUUAUAAGAAUAUUGAUUUUUAUGUAAACCAGCAGAAAAUGUUAACAAAUCAUAUAAUACGUUUGAUAGUUUAUUGGGGUUUUUCUGAUAGCCACUUUACUUUCUGGCGGGCAGCAUAAAGAUUGGAGAUACUGGGUUAGGGGUGAGUUGAGAGAGCAACUGGGAGGGAAAGAGUGAUGAUAAAUGCCUUGACAUUCUUUCACACUAAAUAAGAAGUUAUAUCAUAUUCACAGUGUUAAAGGAUGACAGAAAUAUUGUGUAGCUUAAAUGAUUAGUCGGGGGCUUGUGUUCCUAGAUUAUAUGAUUUAGUAGCUAUGCAUUGGGUUUUAUUACAAACAAUGUUCUUUGAAAAGUCAACCAAUAAAGACAGAACACAGAAAAACUGACACUUUUGGCUACAGCUUCUAUUUCCUUAUGCCUAGUAACUUUAAAAAUACAGAAGCACAAGUGUUAAAAUGAAGAAUUUAAUAUAUAUGGGGAGUCCUGAAAUAGCCCUACUGUUUUAGAAAAUUAAGUUCAGAGUAUCUACUAUGGGAAUUCAAUAAAACUAUUGGCCUUCGAUAUAAGAUAGACCAUAAAUCAAUGAAGUUUAAAUAGUUCUGCUCUCUUGAACACCUGCUUAUCUGUCUUGAGAAAAUUCUGUAGUGUUUUAACCAUCAUUUUAUGACAUUAAAAAGUAAUGCUCACUAUUGCUGUACUUGGAAAGGCUAUUAACGUUAAGGGUAUGUCAGCCAUUCUAUUAUAAACCCUGAUUUCCAGGAGUUUAAUAUAACCCAGACAUUGCAUGUAAUAAAACCUAAUGCAGGAAUCUGAAACUUGGAUCAUUAUUUUCUCUAUUUAAAGGCCAACUACCUCACAAGGACUGUCUCUAGCCAUGGCAAAUAUCUUUAAGAUAAGUUAUAAUUUAAAAAAUUUACCAAAUGCUAUUUUUUUCCUUGCUGUGAUAUUUUCCCUCUAAUUUAAGAUAAGGGCUCCGAAAGGAAGGCUGUGUGUAAAAUAGCUCUUGAAUGAAGUUAAUCUAUGUAUUUGCAUAAGAGCCCUCAUCUCCCCAUCCCCAAUAGAAUUUUAUGCCUCUUUCCACAGAGAAGAACCUUUCAGUCCAUGAAUAUGGUUCAUCUUCUACACUUGUUAUAACAAAUACCACAAACUUAGCUGCUUACAACACUGUAAAUGUGUUCUCUUAAGGUUCUGGAAGUCGGAAGUCUGAACUCAGCUUCACUGGACUAAUGUCAAAAGUGUCAGCAGGGCUGGUUCCUUAGGCGGUUCCGAGGGGAGAACAGGUUUCCUUGCCUUUUUCAGCUCCUAGUUGCUGCCUCUAUCCCUUGGCUCAUGUUUGACUCUUUUGAGACCCCCAUGGACUGUAGCUGGCUAGGCCCCUCUGUCCAUUGGAUUUCCCAGGACAGAAUAUUGGAGUGGGUUGCCAUUUUCAUCUUCAGAGGAUCUUCCUGACCCAGGGAUCGAACCUGAGUCUCCUGCAUUGGCAGGUAGUUUCUUUACUGCAGAACCACCAGGAAGCCCUCAAAUAUCUGACUUAACACAUAAGAAUGACUAACCUAGGCCCAGCCUAACCUGGGGAGGAAGGAAUAUGUUUUGGAGGCAUGAAGAAGAAAGAUGUGGAGAGACAAUUCUAUUUCUUGCUCACUGAUCACCUUUGAUGUUGGGCAGGCUAAGAUGUGGUGAUCAGCAGCCUUAUUUUUAUUUUGUUCAGUUGCUAAGUUGUGUCCGACUCUCUGCAACCCCACGGACUGCAGCAUGCCAGGUAUCUCUGUCCUUCACCAUCAAAGUCCUCCUCCAAAAGUGAGAGAGUUCCUUUAUGAUGGGUGCUGAGUGGCCAGAAGUUAUUAAAUUUGCAGUGGAAGGAGUAUGUGGAGAGAAUUGCAAGAUGAAGAGGAAAGCGGGAAGCUUUAACAGGGUUCUCCAGAAUUUCUGUUUGGGUUGAAGAUGACGUGCAUUUAACUGUUGAGUUGGAGGCUAGAAACUGGAGCCCAUUAUACAGAGUGAAGUAAGCCAGAAAGAUAAGCACCAAUCACUUUUGUCUUUCCUGGAUGAAGUCCAACACCCUCUUUUACUGAUGUUAAGCUUUACUAUGUUUUAAUAUCUUAUGAAGACACUCUGUCUCUUUUCUCAGAACAUUAUCUUUAACUUUGCUUUAAUUGUUUGUAGAUAUUCUCUCAUAAGUACAUAGGUAACUUUGCCAAGAAAUAAUUUUGUUGAGAUUUUGAUUGUGAUUGCAUUACAUUUGGCUUUAAUGUAGGGAGAAUUUACAUUUUUUUCAACAUAUGUUUCUUCAGUAGCAAGAGUUUAUAUCUUUACAUUAAAUCAGUUUCCCUUAAUAUUUCUCACUUUUAGUAAUUAUGCAAACAUUAAUAGCUUUUAUACAUUUAAGAAAAAUACAUUGUUGCUGUUGUGAUUUUCUUGUUUUAUAUUAUAAAUCUCCAUUAUUUAUAUGAAAUAAGCUGAUUAAAAAAUUAUUAACUUUAACCAGUCUUUGAAGUCUCAUUCUCUUCUAGUUUUCUAGUUGAUCAUUUUGUGUUUUCUAUCUAUGCCAUCUAGAUACAAGCAAUUAUAUUUUUUACUCUACCUUUCAGAUGUAUAAUCUUAAUUAUUUAUGUUGUCAUUAUAGUACUUCCAGA